rnacentral:lncRNA from 1 species
UCGUAUAUAGAAUCAAAUUCCAAGAUUGUAGUUUAUCUCCACGUUCUUGGGAGAUCGAUACAUUCAGCUUAGAUAUUUCCGUCUUUCUCAUAAAUCUGACGGUAAAUAGACUGGGAUUUGAAAGUUAAGAGGCGCACAGAAUUACAUACCCAAUUCAAGGCUGGGCUUCUCACAUUGCUGGGCCCAAUUUCUUUCUUUCUUUCUCAAGCCCUUUUUUUAUGGGCGACGGUAUGACGGUGAAGUUAGCUAAACUGUGCCUUUCACACGUGCAGAAAGAGAUCGACUUGGUGGGAAAAUAGCACGCAAGUUCCUGUUUCCAUAUCCUUACCAAUUGGAACUGGCUGGUGGCUACUUACCCUUUACCAACCACCAUCUACGGCCACAAGUUCCACCCCCAAACGCUAUUGCGCAUUUCCCCAGCUUAUUAUUCCGGCCAUCACCCAUGCCUGAGUUCUUUGAAUUAAAUCCUAAAAUACAUGUCCUUUAAUCAAAAUCCUGCCUCAACUGUAAUGCUAAUCUCAAGAAACAUCAAUGCCAUUGUUGCAUGCAAUCCGAUUGAAGAAACUAUGCUGUUCGUAUUCUUUCCGAUGUUAUGGUUUUUCAUACAUAAGGGUUCACAAUAAAAAACAAAGAAAUACAAGGAAUAUGUAAAAUAUCGAAAAUUCCCUAAAAGUCUCUGCCAAACAUAACCAUAACUUUAAAGAAAACCUAAUUUUUAUCUCCUAAAAUUCCUAAUCAUCCAAAAUUACAGUUUCUAUUAAAACUGUAUUUACAACAGAAGACGUCUUGCAUAUAUUAAAUUAAAGGCCAAGUUUAACCAUCAGAAGCAAGCUAAUUAAUCAAGCACAAGCCUCUCUUCUUGUUCUUGGUAGCAUAGUGAAGAAAGCUUCAAGAUCAGGAGGAUUAAAAUACCCGUCCUUGGGUGGGCUUCUCUGCUUGGUACAUACGGGUUUCUUCCUUGCCGGCGGUGGUGGACAUUCCAACGCCGUCAGUAUUCGGCUCUCGCGGUGCAUCGGUGUCUUGCAACCUUCGUGAUCUGCCUCCAUCGUCUUGUAAAACAAGCUUCGACUCUUGAGAGAUAUCUCUAAAUGAAGUGAAAACGAUGAAGAAGCCUAGAGUUUGGAUUCAAUUAAAGAGCGAGUUCUUCAUACUUAUAGAGAUUUAACGACGUUGCCACCAGGCGCUAGCUUGUUCGGG